AGCCCCCAUUCAUGAACCACCCAGCGCUGGUGACGUAGAAGGAGAACCCGGGGCGGUGGUGCAUUCACGUCCUCCACGUAAAGAACCUUACGUUCGCGCAACGGAGUCACAACCGCGUGAAGUGGACCUGUCACAAACUAGGAUGGCCUCUGGAUAAAAAGUACUCACCGGUGGAAAAGAUAUCCAGCAGGUGGCAGCAAAGCAGCGCACAGGAACCUUCCAUAAAUAAACAAAAAAUUAAAAAAAAUU